AGUAAAUAGAUACCCGGGUAGUCCACGCUGUAAACGAUGAGUGCUGGACGUUGGCGGGUUUACCUGCCGGUGUCGCAGCUAAACGCGUUAAGCACUCCGCCUGGGGAGUACGGCCGCAAGGUUAAAACUCAAAGGAAUUGACGGGGCCCGCACAAGCGGUGGAGCAUGUGGUUUAAUUCGACGCAACGCGCAGAACCUUACCAGCCCUUGACAUGGGCGGACGGGGUUCCAGAGAUGGACUCUUUCUCGCAAGAGACCGCUACACAGGUGCUGCAUGGCUGUCGUCAGCUCGUGUCGUGAGA
rnacentral:rRNA from 1 species